rnacentral:rRNA from 1 species
GGUACCUUGCUACCUAACCUAGCGGCGGACGGGUGAGUAAUGCUUAGGAAUCUGCCUAUUAGUGGGGGACAACAUUCCGAAAGGAAUGCUAAUACCGCAUACGUCCUACGGGAGAAAGCAGGGGAUCUUCGGACCUUGCGCUAAUAGAUGAGCCUAAGUCAGAUUAGCUAGUUGGUGGGGUAAAGGCCUACCAAGGCGACGAUCUGUAGCGGGUCUGAGAGGAUGAUCCGCCACACUGGGACUGAGACACGGCCCAGACUCCUACGGGAGGCAGCAGUGGGGAAUAUUGGACAAUGGGCGAAAGCCUGAUCCAGCCAUGCGGCGUGUGUAAAGAAGGCCUUUUGGUUGUAAAGCACUUUAAGCGAGGAGGAGGCUACUUGGAUUAAUACUCUAGGAUAGUGGACGUUACUCGCAGAAUAAGCACCGGCUAACUCUGUGCCAGCAGCCGCGGUAAUACAGAGGGUGCGAGCGUUAAUCGGAUUUACUGGGCGUAAAGCGUGCGUAGGCGGCUUUUUAAGUCGGAAGUGGAAUCUCUGAGCUUAAUUAGGAAUUGCAUUCGAUACUGGGAAGCUAGAGUAUGGGAGAGGAUGGUAGAAUUCCAGGUGUAGCGGUGGAAUGCGUAGAGAUCUGGAGGAAUACCGAUGGCGAAGGCAGCCAUCUGGCCUAAUACUGANGCUGGAGUACGAAAGCAUGGGGAGCAAACAGGAUUAGAUACCCUNNUAGUCCAUGCCGUAAACGAUGUCUAC